rnacentral:rRNA from 1 species
UACGUAGGGGGCGAGCGUUGUCCGGAUUUAUUGGGCGUAAAGAGCUCGUAGGCGGUUCGAUAAGUCGGACGUGAAAUCUCCACGCUCAACGUGGAGGGGCCGUUCGAUACUGUCGUGACUCGAGUCCGGGAGAGGGAUGCGGAAUUCCAGGUGUAGCGGUGAAAUGCGUAGAUAUCUGGAGGAACACCGGUGGCGAAGGCGGCAUCCUGGACCGGUAUUGACGCUGAGGCGCGAAAGCUAGGGGAGCAAACGGG